rfam:Heterocephalus glaber contig88999, whole genome shotgun sequence.
GGAUGUGAGGGGGAUCCGGCUGCAACAUCUGCCACCCCAUUGAUCACCAGGGUUGAUUUGGCUGAUCUCACUAUUUGGCUCCCUCACUGCUCCAUGUGGGUCCCUCCCAAAGCCGCGUGCUAGGUCAAAGAGGAGGACCAUCCCCAAUAGAGGAGGACUGUUUCCUUAGUCAAGGGUAUACAAGUAGCUGUGAUCCCCUGCUAGAACCUCCAAACAAGCUCUCAAAGUUAGGAACAGCCAGUCUUCCACAUCCACAGAUUUUACAUCCAUAGAU